AACGAAUAGUAGCAAAUAGGUUCUUACCAUUGUUAAAAAUAACAUCUAACUAUGGUAAGAAUAAUAGGGAAGUUGGUGUAAAUCCAACGCGGUCCCGCCACUGUAAUCACGGAGUGAAACAACCUAAACCCACUGUAACACAUGUUAUGGGAAGGGGGUUGUAAAAGCAAUGAUGUGUAAGCCAGGAGACCUGCCUAUUUGUCCAAAUCAAG
rnacentral:ncRNA from 2 species